rnacentral:rRNA from 1 species
AAGGUGGUGAAGCAAUUGAUGCCCCGCUUCCAGGAAAAGCCUCUAAGCUUCAGGUUACCAACAAUCGUACCCCAAACCGACACAGGUGGUCAGGUAGAGAAUACUCAGGCGCUUGAGAGAACUCGGGUGAAGGAACUAGGCAAAAUGGUGCCGUAACUUCGGGAGAAGGCACGCUGGCGGUAGGUAAAGUCCCUCGCGGACGGCGC